rnacentral:lncRNA from 1 species
GAUUACUACGGACUCUGGUUACAGACGUACCAUCGCAAAGACCUGACCUUUCUCAGAGUACUGGUCCAAAAUGGUUUGGCUCUCUACACUACAUGGACUUCUAUCGCCUCUCUGAUCAAUUUCUCUGUAGUUCUCCACCUGUGGGGUGUGGAUAAGAGCACGGCAGCAACUGCGUCACUGUGCAUCCUGUUUGCAGAGGUGCUGGCAUGGUUCAUUCUGGAGAACUGGGUGCUGGACCGCUGGGUGCGCAACAUCCUCACAAUCUACCCGGUGGUGAUUGUGGCUCUGGUCGGAAACGUCUACAAGCACUUCAACCCAGCUGAUCCCACUCCAAACGCCAUCUUUAUGGUUGUGCUGUUGGUGCUGGCGUGCAUCCUUUUCGUGUCCAGAUUCUUCACGGUGCUCUGGAGGAACAAGUGGCGCCCUCUGCACUCCCCGGGCUCAGCACGGCUGAUGGUGUCACCCCUCGACGGCAGGACGUUCAGAGUCCUUUCUUAAACAAAACUCGUGCCUCUCCAGACCCACUGAGUUACAUGUUCACACCACCUCCACAGUCAUGUUUGAAGGUAGAUCUAAAUGUUAAACAGAGUUUAUCUGUCAGCAUGGGGAACAAAUGUAUUUCUUCAGUGGAAGAAAGAGUCUGCACGGGAAGGCAGGAAACCCACAAAUCUUUUCUAUCUGCUCUUCAGCUGUACUGAAGAAAAUAGAAAUACCUUCUUUAAAAUACUUUAAAUUCUUUUAAAAACUACUACAACUAUUUAAUACACUGCUUAAUUUUAUCUUAAUGUACUUUAUUCAUGUAUUUCAGUGUUUCCCACUCACACACUUUAGUUUGCAGGUUUAUUAGUGGCUCCCGCAGCUCAUUUUUGAUUUGGGUUUUUUUGUUGUUUUUUGUUUUUUAUCCAUCUGAGACACUGAGACAAGUUCACACUCUAUGAUUUCAUGAUCUCUGUGCUCUUAUUUUGAAAGUUCGAUCACUGCUAAUUAGGGUUGGGUACCGGUAUGGCACCGGUUCUUACAUAAACGGUAGUAACCAGACCGAAAAGCAGCGCACAUAUCGGUGCUUUUUUUUUUCUUGAGAUGUCAUACACUUUGGAUUCUAGCCAAUCAUUUUACCUUUCCAAGGAUAGUAGGCGGGCCCAGGUACGUACGUUCUUUUAG